rnacentral:lncRNA from 1 species
AAGCAAGGGAUAUUAGUUUAUAAAAAUCAUUAGGAAUGUUUUGAUUGCACAUCUGGAAAAAUAAAAUAUGACACUAUUAAUGGGAUAGUGUAUUACAAUUGCCAAUGGUUGAGGAUUCAAUCCCUCAUCCAGUACAGUCCCCAAGGUUGUUAUGCGUUUUUUGGAGCAUUACUAUAUCUGUUACAUUAUAUUUUCAAAAGAUGAUUGAAUUUAAUCAUUUCCAACUCUCCCUUUUGCAGUAGUUGACACCAAGUUUCUUUGCCUGCAAAGUCAAAUAGCACACAUAAAAAAUUAGUGAAAUUUGAAAAAAAUUUCUUUCUUUCUUAUUUAUUUUUUGGUAGCAGAGUGAAAUUUGAAUAGCUAGACAUUGUAAGCACCAUAUUUGGUUAAAAAGACUACCGAAAGAAAAAGGUCCAAAAAGCAGUACGAAUGGAUGAUUUGGAAAUUGGAUGGUUGUAAAUACCUCUAGGAAAGGAAUCUUCCGAAUAGGAUUGCACUAAAGACAAUUCCACCAAGCCAUUUAUUUGAUGCAAAUCUGUUUGGUAGAAAGAGUAGAAGAAAACUUAGCCAGAGAUCAUAAGAUAUAUCAGGAAAUAUAUAGAGCAUAGACUUUUUUUUUUUUUCCCCUUGUGGAGUUUGUAUCUCUUCAAGACUUUUUUUCUCAAAAAUGGGUGAGGUCACAUUAAGAGUGGAAACAUCAAAAUUUGUGUUCUACAAUGGGGAAAGCACCCUUUCAUUUUCGCUUUAGAAGAAAGUAUUGCGCUUUUAGGGAUACAUACCAUUAAGUUCAAAUGGGCUCUGUCUAUAAGUACUACUAAGAAUGUAAUUAUAAUAGACAAUAACACACUUAGAUAUGUUAAAACCCUAUAACAAUUUGUGUAUAUUCUUUUUACAUUCUUCGUAUGAUUCAUUUACUUUUGCAAUGGACCCACUCAAAAAGAAAAGUAAUUAGCUCAAACAAAUGCUAAGAGAUUGUUCUUCACUAGCCGGAAGGGAGAAUUAAGCUUCGAAGGUGUGGAAACAAAUUAUAGCAUGAGAUUUCCUAAUUAAGGUUAUCAAUUAUGUAAAGUCAACAAGUGAAUUCCAAUUUUAUCUCCAUGGAUGAAUACCUACUUUCUGAAACAGUCCGCAGGGUUUGAUAGGUCAACAUCCCAAAUUUGCCAAGCUUUGUGACCGGAAGUAGCUGCUAGCAAUGCAUAAAAUGGCCAUCCUAUAACACUCAAUAAAUAAAGACAUGGAAAUAAAAGUUAAAAAAAAAUAUAGGCAAAAAGCAGACUGCAAGAUGAGAGUGAAAUAGAAAGAAAUAUUUUUAGCCAAAGCUAACAUCUAUAUCUAUACUAUACAUAAAUUGGGAGUCUUGUGUUUUGGUGUAAACAUUUUUUUGCCACUUUUUAAACUUUCAUUUUUACCCUCACAAAAUCUUAAAUUCUACCACCUAUUUUAAUAGUAACUAUCAAAGCAUAUCUUCUCAAUAUAACUACUAGGCAUGUCAAUGGGUCGGAUCUUACUCAGAUCCAAUCCAAUCCAAUAUAUUUGGAUAGGAAUUGGAUUUAAUUUCUCAAAUCCAAACCCUACCCAGAUCUAGAUUCUGUAAAAGAGUCACGAGCCUGAUUUGCUAUGAUCCAUGCCCAAAUCCAAACAUAAACUGGAUCAUAUAUAUAUAUAUAUAUAUAUACACAUAUGUGUGUGUGUAUAUAUAUGUAUAAGUAAAUUUAUAAAAUUAUCUAAUAUUUUAUGACCGUUGAAUCGAUUACCGUGUGCCCUUUACCAUACAUAUAAAAAACAAGAAAACAUGAUAAUUUUAUCUAGAUUCUAGACUAUGUUUAAAAUAGUAUACCAUUCAAAAUAAUAAGUAGGAAACUAUUCAGGCUAGAUGCAAACACUUGGAUAGACCCGAUUUACGUAGAUCUAGUAGUUCAAAAUGUGUCACACUAUCUCAUUAAUUCAAGUAAUGAAGAUGUGAUAAAAUUUGGACCAUUAGAUCUACAAGACCGGGUCUAUCCAAAGUUUUGUCCAUCCAAGAAAGUGUAAGUAGGAAGAGACACACAUAUGGCUCCUAUGGCUAAUAUUGUAAAUUAACAACAGCAGAGGCGAGUAACAAUCAGAAGUAACUUCUUGUACACAAAUAGUUGCGUAAGAGAUGGAUUUACUCUACAUGUACAAAAUUAUAAAACAUGAUCUCCUGUUAAUUUACUCGUGCUUAAUUAUACAUGUAGAUAAACCUUUUUCACAACAAUAAAAAAAUUGUUGACUUCAUAGAUGCAAAUUACAAUUAGAUAAUUGUUGAGUAAAAUGGGAAAAAAAAGAUGAAUAAAAAGAAGUAAAUACCAAUAUGAGCAUU